rnacentral:rRNA from 1 species
AAUAGAUACCCCGGUAGUCCACGCCGUAAACGAUGAGUGCUAAGUGUUAGAGGGUUUCCGCCCUUUAGUGCUGAAGUUAACGCAUUAAGCACUCCGCCUGGGGAGUACGGCCGCAAGGCUGAAACUCAAAGGAAUUGACGGGGGCCCGCACAAGCGGUGGAGCAUGUGGUUUAAUUCGAAGCAACGCGAAGAACCUUACCAGGUCUUGACAUCCUCUGAAAACCCUAGAGAUAGGGCUUCUCCUUCGGGAGCAGAGUGACAGGUGGUGCAUGGUUGUCGUCAGCUCGUGUCGUGAGAUGUUGGGUUAAGUCCCGCAACGAGCGCAACCCUUGAUCUUAGUUGCCAUCAUUAAGUUGGGCACUCUAAGGUGACUGCCGGUGACAAACCGGAGGAAGGUGGGGAUGACGUCAAAUCAUCAUGCCCCUUAUGACCUGGGCUACACACGUGCUACAAUGGACGGUACAAAGAGCUGCAAGACCGCGAGGUGGAGCUAAUCUCAUAAAACCGUUCUCAGUUCGGAUUGUAGGCUGCAACUCCG